rnacentral:sRNA from 1 species
AUUGUUGAGGCACAGGGUAGGGGAGGCUAGGAGGUAGACCAGAGUGGGAAAGAGGCCCAAGCAACUAGUUUCUAGUUCUGGUUCUGUCACUAGUAGAGAUGGGGUUUCACCAUGUUGGCUAUGCUGGUCUCGAGCUCCUGGCCUCAAGCAGUUCCGCCUGCCUCGGCCUCCCAAAGUGCUGGGAUUUCAGAUUAACUUGGACAAGGCUACUGCAGCAUUCAUUUUGGAAGAAAGCUUUUGCUGGAGCAGAUCAGGAAUCAAGCGUCGAAGAUCUCACUCUCAGCAGAAACACUAUGGAGUGUUCUGGGCCACAAGAUUCCAAGGAGCUUUUGCAGAACUCUCAGAGUAGACAAGCAAAAGGGCACAAGAGUGGUCAACCACUAGGUCACUCUUUCAGACUAGAAAAUCCAACUGAGUUUCGGCCUAAGAGUACUCUUGAGGGUCAAUUGAAUGAAUCCAUGUUUCUUCUCAGUUCUCGUCCUACUCCCAGAACU